rnacentral:rRNA from 1 species
GCUCUCUGAUUCAGCGGCGGACGGGUGAGUAAUGCCUAGGAAUCUGCCUGGUAGUGGGGGACAACGUCUCGAAAGGGACGCUAAUACCGCAUACGUCCUACGGGAGAAAGCAGGGGACCUUCGGGCCUUGCGCUAUCAGAUGAGCCUAGGUCGGAUUAGCUAGUUGGUGAGGUAAUGGCUCACCAAGGCGACGAUCCGUAACUGGUCUGAGAGGAUGAUCAGUCACACUGGAACUGAGACACGGUCCAGACUCCUACGGGAGGCAGCAGUGGGGAAUAUUGGACAAUGGGCGAAAGCCUGAUCCAGCCAUGCCGCGUGUGUGAAGAAGGUCUUCGGAUUGUAAAGCACUUUAAGUUGGGAGGAAGGGCAGUAAGCGAAUACCUUGCUGUUUUGACGUUACCGACAGAAUAAGCACCGGCUAACUCUGUGCCAGCAGCC